rnacentral:rRNA from 1 species
UACGUAGGUGGCAAGCGUUGUCCGGAUUUACUGGGCGUAAAGAGCGCGAAGGCGGUCGUGCAAGUCGAGUGUGAAAGCCCCCGGCUCAACUGGGGAGGGUCACGCGAUACUGCUCGACUCGAAGGCAGGAGAGGGAAGUGGAAUUCCCGGUGUAGUGGUGAAAUGCGUAGAUAUCGGGAGGAACACCAGUGGCGAAGGCGACUUCCUGGCCUGUUCUUGACGCUGAGGCGCGAAAGCUAGGGUAGCAAACGGG